CCACAUGGUUAGAAAGAGUGCAGAAGGACUCCCACCGGCCUGCCUGAGGAAGUGCUACACGGUUUUGGUUUAAGAACAGGAGCCUAGCUGAGCUACAGACUUCUAUUUUCUUUUUCGGAGAUACAGUGCCCUUGACUGGCCUGGUUUGGCAAGGGGAGGCAGGACUGUGUAUGUGUGUUUGUGGGUGUUUUAAAGGGACUUUGGGAUUUAGUGGUAACAUUCCACCAUUACUCUAAACCUGUAUAACUUUUGAAGAAAUAGUUCCUUUCCUCUCUACCAAAGUCUGGCAUUGAGAGCCCCAGUUCAUAACCUUU